UAACAUUUCGUCUAAUCCUUGGUUUCAUCAAUUUACAUACGAUAAAGCCGAGGAUAUUGCGGAAUGUCGAAAGUUAUUGACAGCGAAUCUCAGGGGUUGCAAUAAUUGUGGCGUGAUUAUUGCAUAUGUCCUGAUUUAAAGCUGAAUCAAUUGUGGGAUUCUCCACAUUUGCGAGAUUUGCUGUGUGCGCAUUUCGACAUCGGAUUGCAAGAAACGACUUACAACAGCUUAUUUAUAUGUACGUAUGUACACAUACAUGUUUAUUGGAACCCUUAUUUAUCACUAAUAUGAAUAUGACUUUUAACUUCUACACAUAUGAUUUAUGUAAAUUGUUACUUUACGUGCCUAAAUUGAAUAUGAUUUAUAAUUAUUAACAAAUUUAAUACCUUAUUAAAAGCACUUUCUUUCCUUUACAAUAUUUUCCUUCCAAGUAGUAAUAAAGGUGUAUCGAACAAUUCAGAGGCUUGGCAUGCUUUGCUGGAGCUGUUUUUCUUUCAGAUGUAUUUAUAAUGCUUAUGAUAAUUUGCCUUUAUAAUGUUUAAUUUGCCUUUCGAUUCUAUGGACUGACGUGUUGCGAUGUUUACGUACAUAACUUAUAUAAGUAUUAUGUGAUCGCAAUAAUGUAUACGCGGCAAGAUUUCAGUAGCAUCUGCUUGUGGCAUUAGCACGUUGAGUAACUCGUUUAGCAAGAAAUUCCGGUUUAUAUUUGUGUAAGAAAUCAUAGAAUCAAGAAUUUAAAUGACUGUGAGACACUUAUUAACAAUUUUAUUUGUGUGCCUAAAUAGUUAUUUUGUAAAUUAAAACACGAUGGAAAUAUGAUAUUUAAUACCGAUCCUUUGAUUGAUUAUGUACCACUGAGGAUGACCAGAAGGAUGGCCGAAACGUAUGGAAAUAAAUUUAUAUACUCGAGAUAAACUUGUAUAAUUUAUUGAAAUUAAAUAUGAGCAAUAAUUACCGCGCCGAUUCCCAUUAGCCUAUUACAUUUGAAUUGUUAAUUAUUUCUGGGUAACUUUAUAGUUCUUAAUUAAAUCAUAGAUUGUCUGCAGGUCUUGUGAUGCACGCUUUAAUUAAUCUUUUUUUUUUUUAAUAAAAGGCGCAGGAAUUUUGAAAUGUUUAAUAUUAUUUGCUCGAUAUACAUACUGUAAAGAAAUUUAUAUUAAUGUUUAGCUAUUUGCGCAAAAUACACAUGCAUGCCUUUUUAUCUCUUAUAACUGCAUGAUUACCUUGAUCAACCCUGAUAUGAUAAUUUUUCAGUUUCCUUUUUUUCCCGCGCAAACCAAUUUUAACACAAAAUGGUAGCUGUCAUUUCCACAUGAUUGAGUAAUAUAUUAACAUACUGUGUGAUUGACAUAUAUUAAUUUAUCAAGUAAGAUAAACUAACAUAAUUACAUACUUUUUUUGAAGUAAAUCAAUAUGCAUAUGUUCUAAUGUCAAUUUCUCAGUUUGUAGUUACCAAUGUCAACGUUAAUGCCACAAAUAUGUCUCUAAUUAUUACUUAAUAUAAGGAAGAAAAAGAUAUGAGCACGUCCUGGACGGACUAUUGCGUGUAAUCCAACAAGAAGAAGUUCGCCAAUUGUUCAAUGGAUGUUCGACCAUGAGAGCAGCGCUGAUGACUAUCUGACAACUGAGUUUUUACGACCAGAUUAAAACAAUGUUGCUACAAAUUGGCUAUUUUUAGUUAAUUUAGAAGGAAUAAUAUUCCUUCGUUUUUUAUCCAGUGUAUUGGUAGUAAAUUUCUAUAAAUACUGAAAGUUCCGUUAUUCCAGAUCCAUACGUCUGGAGAAGAGAUAACGGUGUAUGUGUGUGUGUGUGUGUGUGUGUGUAUGUGUGUGGUGUGCGCGCGCGCGCGCGUGUAAUUUUAUAUAUAUGCAUUAGGAUGAAGCGAUUUCUGACCCCCUGUUGUUCAUAUAUUUUCAGAAAGGGCGUAAAAAGUGAUGAAUUUUGGUGACAAGCAGAAAUUUUUUAAUGAAUAUCUAUUCCUCCUAAAAAAUCGAAAAACAUUUUUUUUCAAUUUUAUUUUAUUUUAAUUAAUCAUUGGUUUAUUAUGGUAUACAUAACAAUUGUUUCUUAAAAAUAAUUUAUUGUUAAAAAUCUUUUUUUUGUUUCAGUUCUCAGCUUUUUAAGCCGAGAUUCGAUUAUAGAAAAUGUCAUUCCAUCGCGUUUGCUUGUGGAUACACGAUACGCUGCCUUGGUGACAAUUUUAAUGUGACGCUCCGUUGUCUUUCCGCUUUAUAUGACAGGGUAUUUUCAAAUCUUUAAUUGCAGCAUCUACAAAUAUGUAUCCUUGGCUUUCGUCGUCUGACAUUGAUCGCGAAAAAGAAGAUAUGCUACUGACUGUGCCGCCGAAGUCUAUGCAGUUGUGAGCGAUCUAAAGCGCCUGCUCGAAUAGGCAACUUGUCGUACUGACCUGUAUGACGAUGCAACACCUAGUACAUUGGAUUCUUCUUAUCUGAAGGGUCAACCUUAAUGAUAGUAUUGUACUAUAUAAAGAGAGGCGUGUAGAAAAAAAAAUGAAAAUCUUGAACAGUUUGUCCUGGAAAAACAGUCUGUGAAUGUCGCUUAUGGAAGAUUUUGCAGCUGUAAGUAGAAAUUACAGGAUAUUGAUGCAAAAUGCAGCUAGCAUUGCAGUGUUUGAUCACAUUUAAUUUAUUGUACCUAGUAUAAUAUCUAGAAACAACCUGUUUUGCAGUAGAAUUUUGAUUAUUCAAUUUUAUUUGUGAAACUAGUUUAUUUUAAGUAAUAUGUUGAUUUUUCCAUACAACACAAAACAUAUUAGAGAAAAAAUGUUUUAAAUAAAAAUUUUACAGUUUAAAA